GUACUGCUGAGGAGUCCCAAACUAGGGCGAAACAGCUAUCCAGUAC
rfam:Trichobilharzia regenti genome assembly, scaffold: TRE_contig0000787